UACGGAGGGUGCAAACGUUGCUCGGAAUCAUUGGGCGUAAAGCGCACGUAGGCGGUCCAGCAAGUCGGGUGUGAAAUCCCUCGGCUUAACCGAGGAACUGCCUGUCAGACUGGAAGGCUUGAGACCGGGAGAGGUGAGUGGAAUUCCCAGUGUAGCGGUGAAAUGCGUAGAUAUUGGGAGGAACACCAGUGGCGAAGGCGGCUCACUGGACCGGAACUGACGCUGAGGCGCGAAAGCGUGGGGAGCAAACAGG
rnacentral:rRNA from 1 species